AGUGAACGCUGGCGGUAGGCCUAACACAUGCAAGUCGAACGGCAGCACAGUAAGAGCUUGCUCUUACGGGUGGCGAGUGGCGGACGGGUGAGGAAUACAUCGGAAUCUACUUUUUCGUGGGGGAUAACGUAGGGAAACUUACGCUAAUACCGCAUACGACCUACGGGUGAAAGCAGGGGAUCUUCGGACCUUGCGCGAUUGAAUGAGCCUAUGUCGGAUUAGCUAAUUGGCGGGGUAAAGGCCCACCAAGGCGACGAUCCGUAGCUGGUCUGAGAGGAUGAUCAGCCACACUGGAACUGAGACACGGUCCAGACUCCUACGGGAGGCAGCAGUGGGGAAUAUUGGACAAUGGGCGCAAGCCUGAUCCAGCCAUACCGCGUGGGUGAAGAAGGCCUUCGGGUUGUAAAGCCCUUUUGUUGGGAAAGAAAAGCAGCAGGUUAAUACCCCGCUGUUCUGACGGUACCCAAAGAAUAAGCACCGGCUAACUUCGUG
rnacentral:rRNA from 1 species